GCUGGGGUCACCUUGGCCUGGAGUCCAGCUCUUUUCCUCACAUGACUUGACCUCUGAGCCCUGGGUUGUUCACGUGUGUGUGUGUGUGUGUGUGUGUGUGUGUGUGUGAGUUGGUGGUGGGGUGGUCAUAACCACAGCUCACAGGGGGUGCUGCUCUGAGGGCUGGAAGGGAAGGUGUGUGCAGCCGAAGCCAUUGUCCUGUUAAAGCUUAAACGUCAUUCCCUGCUUCAUAAUCUUCCUCUCGACCAAACUGGGAUGACAGCGGUCCCACAUCCCACAGGGCUGUGGGGAUGAAAUGAGGUAAUUCACAUAAAGCUCUGACACAGGUUUCGACGACAGCAAUUGUCCACGGAAUUUAGAUGCUGCUGUUACUCCGCUGUUACUAAUACCGAUGAUCGACCCGCUGCCCGCUGGCAAGUCCCAGGAAUAAUGAGGAUCCCCAUCCCAGGCGGCUAUGAGGAUGAACUGAGGUAACUCAUGUAAAAUUCUGUGCAGAGCCCAUUUGGAUGACAGCCAAGUCUCCAGAGAAGUUAGGGACUGCUGUUGUGAUGUGCCUCUUAAUAGUGGUGAAUUACAGCUACUGGAAAGACCUCUCUGUGACUUGGGGAACACCCGCUCCGCUCAUGGCCCCAUCCUCACUUCUGGGAGACAGCACUGGCACGCUGGUGGGAAGGAUGAAGGGAAAUGCAAACCCCAGAUUCUGAGGUCAUGAGUUCCUUGCAGGGAUUCCUGAAGACUUGUCACCCCGAUGAUGAGAGAGUGAGUUCCCGAGUCUUGUCCAUUUUAUUUCCCAAAUACCCCUGAGACUGGUCCCUUUCCCCCAUCCUGUCUCUGGCCAGGCCACCACCCACUCUCCCCGGAUGACACAGCAGCUUCCUCACUGACCCUCUUGCCUCCACUCCCUUCUCCAUACAACAGCCAGGAGGAAUGUCUUAAAAACUGCAAAUCCGAUCAUGCCAGCCUCAGCUUAAAUCUCUCAGUGUAUCCCCACAGCUCCUGGACAGAGUCUGAGGCCCUUCGCCUAGCCCACAAGGCCCCCUCGCCCCGUCCACUCAGCGCUUGGCACCCUCUCUGUGCCCCUUGCGGGCCUCCUUUAUACUCCUGCCUCGCCCGGCACACGCCGCUUUCCCCUCGUGGCCUGGUGAACUCCGGCACGUUCCCAGGGCUCGGUGCGUGCUGCCUCCUCCAGGAUGCCUUCCCUGACCCUACAGCUUUCCCUCAACAUAGUCCUCAUCAAGCCGCAUUGCAUCUUCAUCUGUGACCACCUGGACUACGAGCAGGAACGUGCCUCGUUUCCUUCAUUGGGGGGUCCCCGGUAGACACCCAGUUUCUGACACAUAGAAGGUGAGUGAGGGAGCUGACCCUCAGGAGGGUAGUAGACUCAGUGUUAUAGACUCAGCUCUCGAUGGCUGGUUUUUUGGAUUCUCUAUCCUGCCCCAGUCUUGACCUGACCUGGGGGUCCCUACAGUGACCACAAUGCCCUGAAGAUGACGUGGGGAGUCUGAUGGGUGGUUUGUGACGCCAGCCCCAGCGAGGCCCAGCGUGGCUUCAAGAAGUGGCGUUUAAGGAAAAUUCGUCCAGACAGGGUGGUCUUGGCUCCUAGUCCAGGCCUGCGCUCAGCCCUACCCGCUGGCCAUGCCCACCGCCUCUCCUAGGGGAGGGACCAAAGUCCCUCAGAAGCCAACUUUGGGAUACGACUUCAUGCCAGCGAUUUAUGAAGGACUGGAGGACGGGGCAGGAUGGGGAAGAGGAAGGAACUGAGCGAAGGGAUGAUUUCAGGCAAAGUCCCAGCUUUAACUCGAGCCCACAGGGGACUCUGGGGGAUGCGUGCGUUACCCCUCAUGGUGGUCCCGCCCCAAGACCAGGGAGUCAUCAGCUAUGGACCAGCCCGGGCUCAUGUGAACGCUGGCACUUCCUGGCCUCUCUUCUUUGCACUCGGGAGCAAAGAAGGUUUGCGUAGCCCCGGGGCAGUUCUCUAAAGGAGAGUGCAGACCGACCAGCCAGUCUGAGCACAAGCUGGGACAGGGGGUGGGGGGGUGGGGCACCGACCUUCACGCUGUGCCGCCUCUCCAAGCUCCCCAUCUCCAGGAGACCCUUCCUCAAUUCUCUGAUUCGUCCUGUUGGCGUUUUCUC